rnacentral:tRNA from 2 species
AUAAACAAUUUAAUGCUUAAUUUUAAAGUUAGAGGCUUUAAUUUAGUAUUUCAGU